GCACAUUCAGAAUUUGAGGAUGAGGAGCUGCUGACAUUUGGAGCAUCCAAAUCAACAUUUUCUGGCAAAGUUACUCCAUUAGAAAGCUGGGUGUACCCCGAAGCACUCCGAGGAGCAUCAUCCAAUUUGGCAGCUUUAACCUUCAAGCCUUGUGGAGGCAAGGAAGAAGCAUUUUGAGACAAACUGAAUGAAAAAUGUAAGGAAGAUCCAGGAUCAAGUGAGGCACUUUCACCACUUUCUUUAGGAUUAGACUGAAAAGCCUCAUCAUUAACAUCAUUCGUAGAUACAACUGGUUCCAGAGUUCUGCCCCAGAAACCAGAAGAUAAAGUACGAACCUCAGAAGUUGAGCCCUCAUACAUAUCACUAAUACCUGAAGAACUGCCACUUGCUCUGCAUUGGAUCUCUCCACCUUGAUCAGGCUUCAUCUGAUUUGAUGCAUUCAAUUUAGAAAAUUUAUCUACAGAAUCAACCAAGCUGGCAAAUUUUGGGGAUGACAAAUUGGUUUGAUCCACGUUGUUGACACCAGAAGCAGUCCACAAUGUGUCAAGUUUAGAGUCAUCAGCAGAUGAAGAUAUCUCAAGUCUACAAGGCUCAUUUGAACCAACGCUCUCACACACAGAAACAUCAUCAGACGAUUCACUACCAGUUACAGAAGAAGAAAACCCAGAGAAUGAAGUACUGGAAGAUUCUGAAGCAAUGCUCCUUCCUUCCCC
rnacentral:lncRNA from 1 species